GUCCUUUUCUAGCUUCAAAAUAUAUUGACUUCCCAAUUGCCUCGGCCAAAAAAAAUUAAGCAAAAGAUAAUGACUUUUUUUUUUUUUUGGUUUGGUUUUUGCAAGGCAAUCAGGGGUGACUUGCUAGGGUCACACAGCUAGUAAAAUCCUCCUGACUUCAGGACCAGUGCUCUAUCCACUGAACCACCUAGCUGCCCUAAAAUAUGUUGACUUUUUAUAAAAGGACACUGUGUCUUCACUAUUUAUAUGGCAAUCAAUUCCAUGUAUAUUUCCAGGAGAACUCAAUCUUGGUUUGUGUCUAUAUAAUUAUGUUUAUUGUCAAGCACAAUUAUUUAUCAAAUGUCAUUGAACUUGAUGUUACAUCCUUCUUGCCUUCCUGUUUUCCUUCCUGUAUUCUUCAGUACUCCUGCCUUCCACAAAUAUCCACUGAAUACUUACUACACAAGAGAUGCUGUACUAGGUAUUAUGAUUAAUAAACAAGUUCUUAUCCUUAAAAAACUUUAAAAAGAUACUGUCAACAGGCAAUCACAACUUCUUGAAACAUGUGAAAAGUAUAUUUAUUACAACAGGAACGAGCAUGUAUGUGGAACCCAAAGAAUUCACAAUCCAUACAGAAGUUUGCAUUGAUAAUACAAUAAAGGAAGGAGAAGAAAACACAUCUCAACCUAAAGGGGCAUGGCAUGGGAGGGAGGAAAAUGAAGUAAAUGUGGGAAAAGGACAAAAGGGGAGCUUAACUGAAGGGGAGGAGCAAGGUUAUGGCAAAAAACAUCUUUCUUUUCUCUUGGGGACCAUUAGAUCAUGAAGAUAAGAUGGUCUGCUUAUCUAUAAGAUUACUGGCUGCAUAAGCACUUUCUCAGUCAGUCAACUGUUGACUAUCUCCUGUCUGGAUUCCAAAGGAUCUACAGGGAAUCCAGCUGGGAUACAAAUAACAAAUUAUGCCAGCUCAGGGUCUCCUGUAUAUUCUGGGUCCUGUAUGUUUCUGGAAGAUAUGGCCAUUCAAAAAGAAAAGUUCAGGGGACCCCUUAAUAUUCCUUAACAGUAAUAUAUCCCAUCUCAUGUUAUCCAGUGUGGGAAUUUUGCCAUUAGUCUUGCCUUCCUUCUCUCUACCAGGAACAACCACAUUCUAGACCAAGUGCUUUCAACUGAGGCUGAGCCACCCUGAUUAUUGAAUGUUUAAGUAAAAAUUCAUUUCAAUACUCUAUGUGUAGUUAGUUCUUGAUCAAGCUUCAUAUACUGUUCAGCAUUCCACCAGAAAAUCAGAGUCUGUGCAAGGCCUUGUUCUUGACUUUGGAAUAAUAAAAUUGAUAUUAUUAUUGCAUCUGAAAAGGGCUUUACAAUUUACUUUCAUUUAGCUAGACUCAAUUUUUUUCUCUUUUUUUUUAAUUUGUAAAUUCUUUUUUUUUAUUUUGAAAAAAAAUUUCUUUACAACAUUAUCCCUUGCAUUCACUUUUGUUCCGACUUUUUCCCUCCCUCCCUCCAUCCCCUCCCCAACAUGGCAAGCAGUCUUAUACAUGUUAAAUAUGUCACAGUAUAUCCUAGAUGCAAUAUAUGUGUGCAGAACCGAACAGUUCCCAUGUUGCACAGGGAGAAUUGGAUUCAGAAGAUAAAAAUAACCCGGGAAGAAAAACAAAAAUGAAAACAGUUUACAUUCAUUUUCCCGUGUUCUUUCUUUGGGUAUAGCUGUUUCUGUCCAUCAUUGAUCAAUUGAAACUGAGUUAGAUCUUCUCUUUGUCAAAGAAAUCCACUUCUGUCAGAAUACAGUCUCAUACAGUAUUGUUGUUGAAGUACAUAAUAAUCUCCUGGUUCUGCUCAUUUCACU
rnacentral:lncRNA from 1 species